GGUGUGCUGAAGAAGACUACUGGUCCUGUGAGAUUGGCUGUAUGUGAGAAUCCACAUGAGAGGCUAAGAAUAUUGUACACAAAGAUCCUUGAUGUUCUUGAGCAAAUCCCUAAAAAUGCAGCAUAUAAAAAGUGUACAGAACAGAUUACAAAUGAGAAGCUAGCUAUGCUUAAAGUAGAACCAGAUGUUAAAAAAUUAGAAGACCAACUUCAAGAUGGCCAAAUAGAAGAGGUGAUUCAUCAGGCUGAAAAUGAACUAAAUGUGGUGAGAAAAACGAUGCAGUGGAAACCAUGGGGGGCAAUAGUGGAAGAGCCUCCUGCCAAUCAGUGAAAACAGCCAA
rnacentral:lncRNA from 1 species